UGGGGAAUAUUNGGACAAUGGGCGAAAGCCUGAUCCAGCCAUGCCGCGUGUGUGAAGAAGGUCUUCGGAUUGUAAAGCACCUUAAGUUGGGAGGAAGGGCAGUAAGUUAAUACCUUGCUGUUUUGACGUUACCAACAGAAUAAGCACCGGCUAACUUCGUGCCAGCAGCCGCGGUAAUACGAAGGGUGCAAGCGUUAAUCGGAAUUACUGGGCGUAAAGCGCGCGUAGGUGGUUCAGCAAGUUGGAUGUGAAAUCCCCGGGCUCAACCUGGGAACUGCAUCCAAAACUACUGAGCUAGAGUACGGUAGAGGGUGGUGGAAUUUCCUGUGUAGCGGCGAAAUGCGUAGAUAUAGGAAGGAACACCAGUGGCGAAGGCGACCACCUGGACUGAUACUGACACUGAGGUGCGAAAGCGUGGGGAGCAAACAGGAUUGGAUACCCUGGUAGUCCACGCCGUAAACGAUGUCGACUAGCCGUUGGGAUCCUUGAGAUCUUAGUGGCGCAGCUAACGCGAUAAGUCGACCGCCUGGGGAGUACGGCCGCAAGGUUA
rnacentral:rRNA from 1 species